rnacentral:ribozyme from 1 species
UGCCCAGCAAGUCCUAUCCCUACCUCCUCGUGGUACUGGCCGGGGUACGAGUAACCUUAGGGAAGA